GGUAGGUAAGAGAUAGGUAGUAGGGUUGUAUUUGAUAGCUACAGGGUAGGUAAGAGAUAGGUUGUAGGGUUGUAUUUGAUAGCUACAGGGUAGGUAAGAGAUAGGUAGUAGGAUUGUAUUUGAUAGCUACAGGGUAGGUAAGAGAUAGGUUGUAGGGUUGUAUUUGCUAGCUACAGGGUAGGUAAGAGAUAGGUUGUAGGGCUGUAUUUGAUAGCUACAGGGUAGGUAAGAGAUAGGUUGUAGGAUUGUAUUUGAUAGCUACAGGGUAGGUAAGAGAUAGGUUGUAGGAUUGUAUUUGAUAGCUACAGGGUAGAUAAGAGAUAGGUUGUAGGAUUGUAUUUGAUAGCUACAGGGUAGAUAAGAGAUAGGUUGUAGGAUUGUAUUUGAUAGCUACAGGGUAGAUAAGAGAUAGGUUGUAGGAUUGUAUUUGAUAGCUACAGGGUAG